rnacentral:rRNA from 1 species
CCCUUCGCCAGCCAGUUACCGAGGGAGUUCUGGGGCCCCAAUUCCCACGGAGUUUAAUGUUGGGCCCCAAUGUGCGGACUCCUUGGGAACCAAGGAGGAAGGUCCGGGUUCGGAUAGUUCGGUAUCCCCCGAUCUUCUGGGCUACACGCGCGCAACAAUGGUAAGGACAAUGGGCUGCAACACCGUAAGGUGAAGCUAAUCCUCGAAACCUUAUCUUACUACAGAUUGAGGGCUGUAACUCGCCCUCAUGACGCUGGAAUCCCUAGUAAUCAGAGGUCAUCAUCCUCUGGUGAAUAUGUCCUUGCUCCUUGCACGAAUUCGCCG